UUCCUACGGGGGGCUGCAGUGGGGAAUUUUGGACAAUGGGCGCAAGCCUGAUCCAGCCAUGCCGCGUGCAGGAUGAAGGCCUUCGGGUUGUAAACUGCUUUUGUACGGAACGAAAAGACUCCUUCUAAUAAAGGGGGUUCAUGACGGUACCGUAAGAAUAAGCACCGGCUAACUACGUGCCAGCAGCCGCGGUAAUACGUAGGGUGCGAGCGUUAAUCGGAAUUACUGGGCGUAAAGCGUGCGCAGGCGGUGAUGUAAGACAGAUGUGAAAUCCCCGGGCUCAACCUGGGAACUGCAUUUGUGACUGCAUCGCUGGAGUGCGGCAGAGGGGGAUGGAAUUCCGCGUGUAGCAGUGAAAUGCGUAGAUAUGCGGAGGAACACCGAUGGCGAAGGCAAUCCCCUGGGCCUGCACUGACGCUCAUGCACGAAAGCGUGGGGAGCAAACAGGAUUAGAUACCCCUGUAGUC
rnacentral:rRNA from 1 species